UCGGGACAAAUAGUAAGAACCGAUUGCACGAGCUAAAUCUUCAGAGGUAGAGUUGCGACCAAAUACUUCAAUGAACUUACCCUCUGGAUCCAUCAAGUAGAAGAAUACCGAGUGGUCAACCAGAUAAUCAUCCUUUUUAGGGUCAAUGUUCUUAGGGGUAGAAAAAUAGACUCGGAAUUUUUUACAAAUAUCUUUUAUUUCUUCAUAGGAUCCUGUGAGACCAACGAUUUUAGGAUUGAAAUCUUCAAGGUAUUCAGCCAUUUCUUGCGGAGGAUCACGGGCUGGAUCACAGGUUAUGAAAAUAGGAUAAACCACGUCUCCAACAACAUUGUUUACAAUAUCAAUAGCUGCUGACAUUUUGUCGAGCUCGUCGGGGCAAAUGUCGGGGCAUCUGGUGAAACCAAAGUAGAUUAAGGAAAAUUUUCCCUUGAAAUCGUUAUCAGUAACUCGAUUUCCAUGAUGAUCAAUUAAAGAAAAAGCACCUCCUAAUUGGGGACGACCUAUGGUAGCCAAAACCUUGUCGUUUUGCCUCUCCAACACUUUUUUCUUUUCAUGUUGGAAAUAAGCAUAAAGGCCAACGCUUGUUGCAGCUGCAAGAAGCAAUGCUCUUAUAGAAAUCAUUCCACGCCAUGAUUGGUAUGUCUGCGUUCGAUUGUCAGUAGCUAGAUUUUUGCGACCGUCGGCAAAACGCGCUAGGCACGUACGAUUCAAAGGAAAUCGAGGACGAAUCAAGCUGUAAUGACAAUGCCUAGAGAAAACUAAACCCCUUCGAAACAUUACUUGAUUUGAGUGAUUGCCAACAAUCGAUUCAAAAAUCGUAAUAUUUGGACAAGACAAAAAACUGAAGUUAAAACAGUAACAAAAGUAUAACCAAGACU